GGGGUUGUGGCUCAGUGGUAGAGCGCUUGCCUAGCAUGUGCGAGGCCCUGGGUUCGAUCCCUAGCACCCCA
rnacentral:tRNA from 1 species